CUGGUCACUUUGUGCUGAUUCACUCUCAGAGCUGGAUAUAAGUAUUUGGAUGGAUUUACAGCAACUUCAUCCUUUUUACUCAAGAGACAUGCCAGUCUGCGUACUUGUAAUGACUAAUUGUCCUGCUGUGUCAGGUCAAAAGGUAACAACCAGAUAUAAGGCUGGUCCUUGAGUUCAGAGCUUGACCAACAUGGCCAGCUAGCGCUCUCUUCAUGGAAAUGCUGAGGUAAUUUGCCGUAGUGAGAACACUAGAGAUACGUGGGAAUGAGGCUGCAAUAGUAUUCGUAAGGCUUAACUCCAAAUGCCUAAUGUUCUGGAGGGAUUUGAAAGUACCGCUUGCUCUGCCCGCUAUGACUUUAGAUUACCUUUGCUCUGAAGAAGAUAACAGCAAAAAUAGGAAAAAAUCCAUGAAGUGGCCUUAUGCAAUAAGACAAAGAAUAUAAUUUGGAUCUAUACAUCAGAAGCUGAGAUCUCCAGCUUAAAAGUUUUAGAAGAUUACAGCAUCAAAGGAAGCAUAGCUCCGUUCUUGGGACAUGUGAAUGCCUAUUUUGAGGCACAAACAAGAAACACUUGGUGCUUCAAAAGGACCUGCGAGGUUGUUGGAGAUGGUGGUAGAACAUAUUUGCUUUGGAUCCUUUUGUUUCUCCCUGCAAGCAAGAGGAGUUCCUGUUUAAGUACGGGUUAACUUGGCAGCAAGAAGAAUCCAUGAAGUGCUGAGGCUGGAGAAUGAAAAGACUGGAAGACUUUUCCAGCUUAACCAACUUAACCAACUUAACCAACUCCUGUCACUACAGAGGUUUUCUGCUCCCAAAGUUCUAGGAACAGAUGAAGAGGUAUUUAUUAUUGGCAUAUGCAUAUAUAUAUUUAAAAAAAAAGAAACCUUGAGCCCAGCAGCAGCCUAUCUCCAACAGAUGCAGCUCAAUGACUUUGUCAGGCUUUGUCCCUUCAAAAAGCUAUUUCUGCAUGCUGUAGGAGUGCCUCAGGAAGGAAAGUAAUGAAGCUAUUGUAAAUACAUAUGCCUAAAUGUGAAUAUGAAUUAAGGUAUGACUGAAUAAGUUGUUUUUUCUAAAUCAAUAAUGCGCAGCCAUGCUUACUUACUGGCCACUUUCUGUUUGCACUCUGCGCAGGAAAGCAAAACCCAGCAGCCCAAAACCAAACAAAAGUGCAGACAGAAAGCUGUCCCCUGCUCGGUGUUGAAACAGAAGUUGAACAUGUUAAAAAAAUAAAUAAUGAAGGUUUCCACAGCAACCUAAGUUCUGUGGUGCAAAUUGAUGACUUUCGUUCUGUUUUAUUAUAUAAUGAUAGAACAGAUAUUCUAUAAAAAGUGGUGGGUACAGCGGAAGUUUAGUUACAUUAUUAAAAAGUUCGGUGUAAUCUUAAAACUUCACCCCAAGCAAUUUGUUUGCAAAGAUUUCUGAAACUGCUGCGUCAAAAGUGUUGUUUUGUGCCUUUAGCUUUGGGAAGGCUCCGACUGGAGGAAAGUCACUUGUCUGGCAGAGCAUUUGCAGUGAUUAGAAUUUCAGUUACAGGAACAGUUUUGAAUUACAUGAAUCAGCUUUUAAUUUGCCGUGAGGAGUUGAAGUUUGGGUUUUAUGGAAAGAGUGGAAGUGAAGGAUGAACUCAAAGAUGAAAUCUAAGAACUAUUUCAAAUUUUGGAUGACCGUUCCUUGUGCAACCUCUACAAAAUUUUGCCAGCUCCUUAGAAGCCUUGGAAAUUAAUUUAGAACAAUAUAUUAAAUCACAGUAUUAGACAAAUUUUGAUCUAAGGGCUGGUGGUAUCACUGGUUAGGGUGCUGACACCAUGUCCUCCAAUGCCAACCUUAAA